rnacentral:sRNA from 1 species
UGCUAUGAUGAAGAUGCAACCUCAAUGGCACUACCAAGGGGCCAUGCUGCUUCAACAAAUGAAUUGCUAUAAGGCACCUUCUUUACCAAUGUAAUAUCCUGAUAUACCAAAUCCAUCCACAAGUAACGUGUACUGGUAGACUAGAUCCAUGCAAAGGUAUGGAACGUUCUCCUCUGAAACAUCCGGGUAGGUGGCCUGUGCAUCCUUCACAUUCAGUUUACAAACACGUCGUGCAGCUUCUUCGAAGUCUGAGGGUUUAACCUUAGCAAAUGUUUUGUUGCCACAAGGACUUACCUCAGCAGCCCGAUCGAAGAAAAAUGAUGCAACAAAAAGAUUCUUCUGCCCAUCUCCUCCACCACCAUUCCACACACCACCAAAUGUACAUUUCAUGUGAGUGCAUGCUGGUUCGUCAACUUUGAGAGCUCUCACAGCAACAGCCCUGCACUUGGAAUAACUUGCACCAGAUGACAAACCUGAUGCUUCGAAUAUAUCGUCACCAUAUCUGUAUUGUCCUUGAUGUCCUUCCAACAUACAGUUGCGGUAAUCAUUGCCUUCACCUGCUUUUAAGAUCUCUGCUCUAGCCGCCAGCAAUCCAUAACGCAAAUAACUGUAGAA